UACAGAGGGGGCCAGCGUUAUUCGGAAUUAUUGGGCGUAAAGGGCGCGUAGGCGGCCAUGCGUGUCUUCCGUGAAAUCCCUCGGCUUAACCGAGGACGUGCGGAAGAAACUGCAAGGCUCGAGUCCGGAAGAGGGGGGCGGAAUUCCCAGUGUAGCGGUGAAAUGCGUAGAUAUUGGGAGGAACACCAGUGGCGAAGGCGGUCCCCUGGGCCGGGACUGACGCUGAGGCGCGAAAGCGUGGGUAGCAAACGGG
rnacentral:rRNA from 1 species